AUUGAACGCUGGCGGCAGGCCUAACACAUGCAAGUCGAACGGUAGCACAGAAGAGCUUGCUCUUUGGGUGGCGAGUGGCGGACGGGUGAGUAAUGUCUGGGAAACUGCCCGAUGGAGGGGGGUAACUACUGGAAACGGUAGCUAAUACCGCAUAACGUCGCAAGACCAAAGUGGGGGACCUUCGGGCCUCACACCAUCGGAUGUGCCCAGAUGGGAUUAGCUAGUAGGGGGGGUAAUGGCUCAACUAGGCGACGAUCCCUAGCUGGUCUGAGAGGAUGACCAGCCACACUGGAACUGAGACGCGGUCCAGACUCCUACGGGAGGCAGCAGUGGGGAAUAUUGCACAAUGGGCGCAAGCCUGAUGCAGCCAUGCCGCGUGUAUGAAGAAGGCCUUCGGGUUGUAAAGUACUUUCAGCGGGGAGGAAGGCGGUGAGGUUAAUAACCUCGCCGAUUGACGUUACCCGCAGAAGAAGCACCGGCUAACUCCGUGCCAGCCGCCGCGGUAA
rnacentral:rRNA from 1 species